rnacentral:rRNA from 1 species
UACGUAGGGUGCAAGCGUUGUCCGGAAUUAUUGGGCGUAAAGAGCUCGUAGGCGGUCUGUCGCGUCGGCUGUGAAAACCCGGGGCUCAACCCCGGGCCUGCAGUCGAUACGGGCAGACUAGAGUGCGGUAGGGGAGACUGGAAUUCCUGGUGUAGCGGUGAAAUGCGCAGAUAUCAGGAGGAACACCAGCGGCGAAGGCGGCGCUCUGGGCUGGCACUGACGCUGAGGAGCGAAAGCGUGGGUAGCGAACAGG